rnacentral:lncRNA from 1 species
UUAUCUCUUUUUAUAGAGAACCUGCUUGAACAAGAUGAAAUAUACUGUGCACAAAGAGGAAAAGUAAAUUGGCUACACCGGGUCGACCAGAAUACAGUCUACUUUCAUCAGUUUGCUUCGGCACGUCGGCGCAGGAAUUUAAUCAAGCAGCUUAAAAAUAGUAAUGAUUGUUGGGUAGAACGUAAGGAUAAUCUUAAGCCUCUGAUUAGGGACUACUUUCAAGGUCUCACAUCUACUUCGGUUGUGGCGGAUCAGGACAUGUUAAAUUCUAUAAGACCUUUGGUGUCUAGUGAAAUGAAUAAUAUGCUUUUGGCUGAGUAUGCCAGAGAAGAUGUUCGCAAAGCUUUGUUCCAGAUAGGUGAUAUGAAGGCUCCUGGCUCCUGACGGAUGAGGUGCUCGAUGCUAUAAACAAAAAGAAGAUCCCUUCAGGAUGGAAUUUUAGAAAUGUUGUGCUAAUUCCAAAGGUUGACAACCCAGAGUUAAUUACACAAUACAAGCAUGUCAGUCUAUGCAAUGUGGUAUAUAAAAUAAUCUAAACAAUGCUUGCAAAUAGGUUGAAGCUAAUACUUCCCGAUAUCAUCUCUCCAACACAAAGUGCUUUUGUCCCAGGUAGACUCAUUGCCGAUAAUGUGUUGGUAGCCUAUGAGAGUUUUCAUGCAAUUAAGAAGAAAACUCAUGGGUCUAAUGGUUAUUGUGCUGUCAAACUGGAUAUGAAUAAAGCCUAUGACCGAGUGGAAUGUGGUUUCCCGGAGAAAAUAAUGUUGCGGAUGGGAUUUCAUGCAUAUUGGGUGGAGCUUAUUAUGGAGUGUGUAUCUUCAGUAAGUUACAGAGUCCGCUUUAAUAAUACUAAAACUGAAGAGAGGUCUAAGACAGGGAGAUCCAUUGUCUCCCUAUUUAUUCCUAUUAUGUUCUGAAGGACUAACAAGUUUAUUAGCACGUGAACAAGAGAUUGGAGGACUAGAGGGGGUUCGUGUUUGCAGAAAUGCACCCCCUAUUUCGCACUUGUUAUUUGCGGAUGAUUCUUUAAUCCUGAUGAAGGCUGACUCACAUAAUGCAAGUACUCUUCAAAGGGUUCUUGAUACAUACUGUAGUAGCUCGGGACAACUUGUGAGUAAUGCAAAAUCAAGUACUUUUUUCAGCCCUAAUACAAGUGUCCAUACUAGAGAGAAUGUUUGCAGAGAAUUAAACAUUGUGACAGAAGCUCUGUCUGACACAUAUUUGGGUCUCCCUACUAUGGUUGGUGUGGAUAGAAGUGACUGUUUUCAUCACUUGGUUGAUAAAGUGUGUCAGAGGCUGAAGGGUUGGAAAGAGAAAACACUCUCGAUGCAAGGUAAAGAGAUUUUGGUCAAAUCUAUAGCACAUGCAAUCCCAUCUUAUGCUAUGUCUGUUUUUAAGCUACCUAAAGGGAUUUGCAAGGCUAUUACCGAUGAAAUUUCUGGUUUUUGGGUGGGAGAUAAUGAGGAGAAAAAUAAGAUGCAGACUUGGUUUUAGAGACCUGCACAGUUUUAAUCUUGCUAUAUUAGCAAAACAGUACUGGCGACUAAUCCAGAACCCAGACUCUUUGUGCACACAAGUGUUGAGGGCAAAAUACUACCCGGAUGGUGGCAUUUUGAGAGCAAGUCCACAGAAAGGAUCAUCUUACACAUGGCAAAGCAUUGUUGCAGGUAUCCAGACAUUCAAGAGGGGCUAUAUUUGGCGUGUGGGAACGGGAUUGAACAUUGAUAUAUGGCAGGACCCAUGGAUUCCAUUGAGUGUGUCAAGAAGAGUUGUCACUGAGAGGGGUGCUACAAUGCUCUCGAAAGUUGAAGAAUUAAUAAACCCACACACAGGACAAUGGGACGAGGGUCUUAUCCGAGAUGCCUUCUCACCUGUUGAUGCCUACAGGAUUUUACAAAUUCGUUUGAAUGCCAAUAUGACAGAGGACUUUGUAGCGUGAAACUAUACACGUUCAGGCACUUUUUCUAUGAGGUCUGCUUAUCAUAAGGAAUUUGAGCAUCAACAUGGAACACGUCUGAUGAGAGCUGAUGGUCAAGGGAGACAACAAAUUAAUCUUGUGUGGAAUGAUAUAUGGAGACUGAAAAUACAAGGAAAGAUCAAGCAUUUUGCAUGGAAAGUUCUACACGGUGCACUCCCAUGCUUGGGAGCAUUAGCAAAUCGCCACAUUCCAUGUUCACCUCAAUGCCCGGUAUGCUUGAUUGGCGAUGAAGAUAUACAACACUGUUUGUUCAAAUGCUGACGAGCGACCAAAGUUUGGGAACAGUUGGGCUUACUGCAAGAUAUUUGGAGGGCUGUUUUGGAAGAUAGAUCAGGGUCUAUUACCAUGGAAAUUAUCUCCAAACUAAAAGGCGCUGAUGGAGAGAUACCAAGGGCAGAACUCAUUAUCAUAGCGGCACGGUAUAUAUGGUGGCAACAACGACAAACAGUGAAGGGGACACAAGUUCAGACCCCCGAGAAAACUGCACUAUCUAUCAAAGUGUUAGCAACGAAUUACAUGAGAUCACUCACGCCUAAAGGUCCAGUACGAAAGAGUGAUCACAUGUGGAAAAAACCAGGAAGUGGGAUGGUGAAGAUAAAUGUUGACGCCUUCUUUUAGUAUGAAACAUUUUCGGGUGCUUGUGGUGCAGUGGCUCGUGAUGAACGGGGUGAUUUCAUAACUGCAGCUGGUUGGUUUCUGCCUAAUAUAUAUGAUGUGGAUUCAGCAUAGUGGAUCGCAAUAAGGAACGGAAUGUACUUGACGAGUCAGAUUGACCGUACUAGGGUGGAAAUUGAGUCAGACUGCUCCUUUACUGUGGACGCUAUUAACCAAAUAGAGGACUAUUUAGGACCUGAAGUCGCAACCAUCACGGGGUGCAAACAUCUGAUCUUGGACUAUGCAAAGAUAUCCUUCAAACAUUGUUUCAGGGAGGCCAACAAGGUAGCAGACGAAAUAGCAAAGUACUCCUUUAGUAAUAGAUCUUCAGUUUGCUGGGAGGAUGAAAUCCCUGAUUUUAUUUCUCAUUUGAUUGUAAAUGACAUGUCGAUUAUGUGAGGAAUAAAAUCUAUUUGCCGUCAAGAAAAAGAGUAGUACAAGCUACAAACAAAGCAGGGUACCAGUUACCUCGACGUCUUAGAAAAAAAGGGAUCGCGUCGACUCGGGUCGGGUGGCUCCGCCGCCGUCGCUCCAGGUCCACGCCACCCCUUUCUCCCCUCGCCGUCUUUGGCCGGUGGUUCGAGGCGGCGGGUUCUUGUGCGCGCCCUUCCUGCUCCCGCUCAGAUCUGCCCCUAUAUGGAUCUUACCUCGCCACGCCGGGUAUGCGCUGC